AAAACAUCGCCUCCUGCAACAUAACCAAGUAUAGGAGGUCCAGCCUGCCCAGUGACCACAAGUUCAACGGCCGCGGUAUUUUGACCGUGCAAAGGUAGCGCAAUCACUUGUCUUUUAAAUAGAGACCUGUAUGAAUGGCUAAACGAGGGCUUAACUGUCUCCCCUUUCAGGUCAGUGAAAUUGAUCUACCCGUGCAGAAGCGGGUAUAAUAAUACAAGACGAGAAGACCCUUUGGAGCUUAAGGUACAAAACUCAACCACGUCAAGCAACUUAAUAAAAAGCAAAAACCUUGUGGAAUGUGAUAUUUUACCUUCGGUUGGGGCGACCACGGAGGAAAGAAAAGCCUCCAAGUGGACUGGGAAAACUUCCUAAAGCCAAGAGAGACAUCUCUAAGCCGCAGAACAUCUGACCAAACAUGAUCCGGCAACAAAGCCGAUCAACGAACCAAGUUACCCUAGGGAUAACAGCGCAAUCCUCUCCCAGAGUCCAUAUCGACGAGGGGGUUUACGACCUCGAUGUUGGAUCAGGACAUCCUAAUGGUGCAGCCGCUAUUAAGGGUUCGUUUGUUCAACGAUUAAAGUCCUACGUGA
rnacentral:rRNA from 1 species